AUUUUAUGUUCCUAAUAGCCACCCUAUAUCAUGAUUAUUUUUUUCAUACAUGUCACAAUUAAAUCCUCUCAUAUCUUAUCAAAUCAUCUUAUAUCUUAUCAAAUUCUUUUGCUUUAGUUGUCCACUCUCUUUUGUUUCCACUUUCUUUUGUUUUUAUGCUGUCAAAAUUCCACUUAGCAAAUCAGCCAAAUCUUUCACACAAACCUCUCACCGUGGAGCUUUUCCCUUCUUCAAUUAGCUUUUCAACAACAAGCUCAUCAUUUUUCUUCUUUCACGGAAGGUUUCUGCUUCUGUAUUUUUACAGAAAGCCUGCAUUGAUUUCAUCUAUGAUAAUCCAAGCAGACACAACCCACACAUAACAACUCUAAUCAACAGGCAAUAGCUUCAUCUGAAAUCCUCUCUCAUCCGUAAAUUGGAGAAAACCAGUCUGCUUUCACGGAGGUUGGCUGGCCGGUGCUGACGGGACGGAGCUGAGGCUAGCGAUAAAUUCCUAUGUUAGACUUCCGCUGUAGCAAUUACUCAUAUCAGUCUUUUGUUUUUCCAACUUAAGAUCUUCAUGUUAAAUUUCAAAUGAUAUACCUGACCGAGCUUAGACUCUUCACUACUAAAUUUAUGCCAAUGAAUGUCGGUUGUCAGAAGCAUGAAACAAAACUUGUGAUCCAAAGGGGCAUAGCCCGACUUUCUAUCCUAUUUCGGGUUUUUACAAGGUUGUUCCUUGUUUAUUUCUA